rnacentral:rRNA from 1 species
AUGGGCGAGGCGGUGGAGGCGCCGGCCGCGUCAUCGACCACGGUGGAGAUGGAGGCCGCGGAGCAGCUCAUCCAGCUCAGCGGCGGCGGCUGCGACGACGGCGACAGCGGCGAGUCGGAGAGCAAGAGCGCGGACAGCGUCAGGGCCGGCGAGAAGGUGCUGGCCGUGGAGAGAAAGAGCGUCAAGGCAGCUGGCGAAAAGGUGCCGGCCGUGGCAAGCAAGAGCGCGGGCAGCGUCAAGGCAGCUGGCGAGAAGGCGCGGGCCGCGGAGAGCAAGAGCGCGGACAGCGUCAAGGCCGGCGAGAAGCGGGGAGAUGGUAAAGAGGGGGUGCCCGCCGUGGAGAGCAGCACCGGGAAGAGACGCGAGAAACUCGGUGGGCACAAGGGUGGCGGGCAAGACGAGGAGGCCGUCAUCGGCGGGGUCGCCAGGAGGAGGCCGAGGUUCCGGUCGCUGGCGUCGAUAUACAAGAACACGAGGAGGAUGGACGACCACGGGCACCGCCGCGAGGAGGCGGAAGAGGACGAGAGGAGUGAGGGGAAGGGGAAAAAGAACAACAAGAGGAAGAGGGCCACGGAUGGAGCGGCCGACGGCGAGCUGAUCCCCACGGCGGUGCCGUGCAAGGCCAAGAGAGGGGUACGCCGAAGAACUAGCUAG